UAUUGCACAAUGGGCGCAAGCCUGAUGCAGCGACGCCGCGUGAAUGACGAAGGCCUUCGUGUCGUAAAGAUCUUUCGACAGGGAAGAAAAUGCCUAUAAGUAACUGUGUAGGUAUUAACGGUACCUGUAUAAGCAGCCCCGGCUAACUCCGUGCCAGCAGCCGCGGUAAUACGGAGGGGGCGAGCGUUGUUCGGAGUGACUGGGCGUAAAGAGCACGUAGGCGGUGUUGUAAGUCAUUAGUCAAGAACUAGAGCUCAACUUUAGUAAGGCUAGUGAUACUAUAAUACUAGAGUAUCAGAGAGGAUUGCAGAAUUCCUGGUGUAGCGGUGAAAUGCGUAGAUAUCAGGAGGAAUACCGUUAGCGAAGGCGGCAAUCUGGCUGGAAACUGACGCUGAGGUGCGAAAGCGUGGGUAGCAAA
rnacentral:rRNA from 1 species